UAACACAUGCAAGUCGAACGAUGAAGCUCCAGCUUGCUGGAGUGGAUUAGUGGCGAACGGGUGAGUAACACGUGAGUAACCUGCCCUUGACUCUGGGAUAAGCCUUGGAAACGAGGUCUAAUACCGGAUAGGAGCACUCAUCGCAUGGUGGGUGUUGGAAAGAAUUUCGGUCAUGGAUGGACUCGCGGCCUAUCAGCUUGUUGGUGAGGUAAUGGCUCACCAAGGCGACGACGGGUAGCCGGCCUGAGAGGGUGACCGGCCACACUGGGACUGAGACACGGCCCAGACUCCUACGGGAGGCAGCAGUGGGGAAUAUUGCACAAUGGGCGCAAGCCUGAUGCAGCGACGCCGCGUGAGGGAUGACGGCCUUCGGGUUGUAAACCUCUUUCAGUAGGGAAGAAGCGAAAGUGACGGUACCUGCAGAAGAAGCACCGGCUAACUACGUGCCAGCAGCCGCGGUAAUACGUAGGGUGCGAGCGUUAUCCGGAAUUAUUGGGCGUAAAGAGCUCGUAGGCGGUUUGUCGCGUCUGCCGUGAAAGUCCGGGGCUUAACUCCGGAUCUGCGGUGGGUACGGGCAGACUAGAGUGCAGUAGGGGAGACUGGAAUUCCUGGUGUAGCGGUGGAAUGCGCAGAUAUCAGGAGGAACACCGAUGGCGAAGGCAGGUCUCUGGGCUGUAACUGACGCUGAGGAGCGAAAGCAUGGGGAGCGAACAGGAUUAGAUACCCUGGUAGUCCAUGCCGUAAACGUUGGGCACUAGGU
rnacentral:rRNA from 1 species